rnacentral:rRNA from 1 species
GAGCGACUCUCUGGUCUGUAACUGACGCUGAGGAGCGAAAGCGUGGGGAGCGAACAGGAUUAGAUACCCUGGUAGUCCACGCCGUAAACGAUGAGUGCUAGGUGUUAGGGGGUUUCCGCCCCUUAGUGCUGAAGUUAACGCAUUAAGCACUCCGCCUGGGGAGUACGGCCGCAAGGCUGAAACUCAAAAGAAUUGACGGGGGCCCGCACAAGCGGUGGAGCAUGUGGUUUAAUUCGAAGCAACGCGAAGAACCUUACCAGGUCUUGACAUCCUCUGAACACUCUAGAGAUAGAGUUUUCCCUUCGGGGACAGAGUGACAGGUGGUGCAUGGUUGUCGUCAGCUCGUGUCGUGAGAUGUUGGGUUAAGUCCCGCAACGAGCGCAACCCUUGAUCUUAGUUGCCAGCAUUAAGUUGGGCACUCUAAGGUGACUGCCGGUGACAAACCGGAGGAAGGGUGGGGGAUGACGUCAAAUCAUCAUGCCCCUUAUGACCUGGGCUACACACGUGCUACAAUGGAUGGAACAAAGGGAAGCGAACCCGCGAGGUCAAGCAAAUCCCACAAAACCAUUCUCAGUUCGGAUUGUAGGCUGCAACUCGCCUACAUGAAGCCGGAAUCGCUAGUAAUCGCGGAUCAGCAUGCCGCGGUGAAUACGUUCCC